rnacentral:lncRNA from 1 species
UAAUCAGCAAGGCUUUACCUCAUUAGUUGGAAGUUUCAAGUCAAGUCAUCUUUGGUGUUGUCAUUUUUCGCAAAGACUCGCAAAAUCAUCAUUACUGAUGUCAAAGUAGCUUAUAACAUGUCCAAGCCAGAGCUGUAUUGACAAACUAAGUCCAAAUUAUAUUUACAGAGGAUACAUUGCUGAGCUAGGAAGGGAAGGGUGAGAAGCUAUAUACAAAGUGAAAACAUCAAAAAGCAAAAACUUUUUGAGAUCAACCCAAAUUGACCGAAGAAACUCUUGCUAUCAGAAAAAAAUAUGAAAACAUGAGGCCCACUAUACCAAGGUGGAUUAAAUAGUAAAUGCUCAAACAAAAGCUUAAACAUGCUGUGGGCAUAAUUGGACACCAUCCAUACAACCACAUCACUACUAAAAAUAGCAUGUCAUACGAAGGUAAAUAUGAUAUAAAAUGUGAGAGAGGGUCAUAACUUGCAAAUUCUCAGAUCUGUGAAUCAUAACGUGUUAGUAAGAGUAUAUCCUAGUUGUUUUGGUGAACAUGUUCACAAUUUUUGCAGAAAUAACUUAAAAAACUGGUCAGGUAACAUAUAAAUACAAAAUAUACCGAUAGUGGAAGAGGAAAUAAAAAAAGGAACCUUUAAUUUCCUCGAUAUUAGAUUGCAGGUGGACACUAUUACCCUCAAGCAUCUUAGAUACCUCCUUGCCAGAUUCAAAUGCCCUGAGGAAAUAAUC